AAUGGACGGAAGUCUGAACCAGCCAUGCCGCGUGAAGGAUGACUGCCUAUGGGUUGUAAACUUCUUUUAUAUAGGAAGAACCUCUCUACGUGUAGAGAGCUGACGGUACUAUACGAAUAAGGACGGGCUAACUCCGUGCCAGCAGCCGCGGUAAUACGGAGGGUCCAAGCGUUAUCCGGAUUUAUUGGGUUUAAAGGGUCCGUAGGCGGGGUUUUAAGUCAGUGGUGAAAGCCUACAGCUCAACUGUAGAACUGCCAUUGAAACUGGAACUCUUGAAUGUGAUUGAGGUAGGCGGAAUAUGUCAUGUAGCGGUGAAACGCUUAGAUAUGACAUAGAACACCGAUAGCGAAGGCAGCUUACCAAGUCAUUAUUGACGCUGAUGGACGAAAGCGUGGGGAGCGAACAGGAUU
rnacentral:rRNA from 1 species